AACGAACGCUGGCGGCAGGCCUAACACAUGCAAGUCGAGCGCCCCGCAAGGGAGCGGCGGACGGGUGAGUAACACGUGGGAAUUUUCCUCAAGGUACGGAACAACUCAGGGAAACUUGGGCUAAUACCGUAUGAUGCAGAGAUGCCAAAGAUUUAUCGCCUUGGGAUAAGCCCGCGUCAGAUUAGGUAGUUGGUGGGGUAAUGGCCUACCAAGCCUGUGAUCUGUAGCUGGUCUGAGAGGACGAUCAGCCACAUUGGGACUGAGACACGGCCCAAACUCCUACGGGAGGCAGCAGUGGGGAAUCUUGCGCAAUGGGCGAAAGCCUGACGCAGCCAUGCCGCGUGAAUGAUGAAGGUCUUAGGAUUGUAAAGUUCUUUAGCCUGUGACGAUGAUGACGGUAACAGGAGAAUAAGCCCCGGCUAACUUCGUGCCAGCAGCCG
rnacentral:rRNA from 1 species